rnacentral:rRNA from 1 species
AACGCGAAGAACCUUACCCGGGCUUGAACAGCGAGUGACCAUCGACGAAAGUUGACUUCCGCAAGGACACUCGUAGAGGUGCUGCAUGGCUGUCGUCAGCUCGUGUCGUGAGAUGUUGGGUUAAGUCCCGCAACGAGCGCAACCCUUGUCUGCUGUUGCCAUCACGUUAUGGUGGGCACUCUGCAGAGACUGCCGGUGAUAAACCGGAGGAAGGUGGGGAUGACGUCAAGUCAGCAUGGCCUUUAUGUCUGGGGCUACACACGUGCUACAAUGGCCGGUACAAACCGUCGCGAUACCGCAAGGUGGAGCUAAUCGGAGAAAGCCGGUCUCAGUUCGGAUAGCAGGCUGCAACUCGCCUGCUUGAAGUUGGAAUCGCUAGUAAUCGUAGAUCAGCAUUGCUACGGUGAAUACGUUCCCGGGCCUUGUACACACCGAUAGC